rnacentral:rRNA from 1 species
CGUAGGGUGCAAGCGUUAAAUCGGAAUUACUGGGCGUAAAAGCGUGCGCAGGCGGUUUUUGUAAGUCUGAUGUGAAAUCCCCGGGCUCAACCUGGGAACUGCAUUGGAGACUGCAAGGCUAGAGUGUGUCAGAGGGGGGUAGAAUUCCACGUGUAGCAGUGAAAUGCGUAGAGAUGUGGAGGAAUACCGAUGGCGAAGGCAGCCCCCUGGGAUAACACUGACGCUCAUGCACGAAAGCGUGGGGAGCAAAACAGGAUUA